CUAAAAUCAAUUGAACCACUUGAGAAACUCUAAAAACCAAAUCGAACCAGCUAAAACCUAGAUUCUUCUAAGAACCAAACCGGUUCCACCUUUAGCCAAUAGGGUUAGGAGAGAGAAAAUUUUUAUCUCAUCUCCUUCUCCCUUUCACGACAAGCGAGCACCUUUCCCCUCCCCUUUCAUUCCCGUUCCCCAGCCGAAACUGCAUGGAAUCCUGCAAGUGAGGACUCUAAAAUUAUCUACUCGAUGCAAGGAAGCACAAUGGAACCUCAGUUCACACAUCAGUCGCAUGGAUUGAGAGAAAAUCACGUGCAAAAAAGUUCGGCACCAUUGCAGUACCGUUUUCCAAUGAUUCACACCAUUUCGGGAAAGCCUAGGGCGUGAGGUCAGUACCAAACAACUCCUCUCUUUCCCUCUUUCAUUUGAUGGUCUUCCCACCGACUGUUAUAGCCGGAAUCGGAAAACCCAAAAUGGUCACCACCAAACCUUUCACACCCAUCUUGAUUUGAUCACAUAUUAGUGAUCCUCUCGUCGAAAUGAAUAAAAUGAUGUAUUGUUUGUAAGUUUUGGUGAAGUUCGAUGUUCUGAUCACUAUGCACAGUGGCCGGUGGCGACGGUCCGGUGACCAACUGGCACUAUUCGGCAAGGAAUCAAGAGGCAAAAUCUCCAGCUUUUCCCGCGGAACACAAUGAUAUAGGCCAAAUCUUGACUAAUAUUCUUGCAGGUCUCGAGGAAUCAAAUUCCAAAUGGCAGAGUAUCGAGAAAGGAAUAUAGCUUCUAACUAAACUGUAUAACAGUGAGUAGUGUUAGAUAAUUAGCAUCAUCCACCUGCAUUUGCAUCCAUGCAUACACGGCUAAAUGCUAAACAUGCAUUACUUAGUAAAUUGUUCUUUGGUGUUGCAUUAUUUGUUGCUAUUGGAAGUGGUUUGAUUAGUUGUGAUAUCCGUUAUGUAUGCUUUGCUUGUGUGGAAUUGGAAUGAAGUAGGUCACCGUUGGAUUUGUGAGAGCGGUUUAUGAUACUGUCGACUAUGUAUGGGGAGAUCAGCGCCUCCGUGUGCAUCUGAUGAAAUAUGAUAUAGAAAACAGAGUGGCCUCCUAUUGAUAUGGGAAAGAAAAGAGAGUAUAAAAAAUGAGAACGCUAGUCAAGUAAGGUUGAGACCGGGCAAUCAUGUAUGAGGACAGCUCCCUGGUGCAUAUGUGAUGAGAGGGUGGGCCAUAUGUGUGGAUGGCUCGUCGAGGGUUUUGGUGACGCCAGUGACCAAUUUCCACGUGAUGUGAUUAUGUGAAGGUUACAGGUCUUCCAAUAACUCAUUGUCCUUUGUCUCCAGACGCCUAGAAGAUAUCUUAAUAAAUAAAUUGAAAUUUUAAGUUCUUAGAUUAUUCCGCAAUUACGAUAAUUUUGUAUAAUAAAUUAAAAAUUAUUGAUGUAUGACUUAUUAAAGUUUCUAUCAUAUAAUAUAUUGAUUGGGGUCUAGAGAGCUUUAAAAUUGA